rnacentral:misc_RNA from 1 species
GAUGAAGAACGUAGUGAAAUGCGAUAAGUAAUGUGAAUUGCAGAUUUCAGUGAAUCAUCGAAUCUUUGAACGCACCUUGCGCCUUGUGGUAUUCCGCAAGGCAUGCCCGUUUGAGUAUCAUUAAAUCAUCAACUUCAAAACCUUUGUGUUGUUGAAGCUUGGUCUUGAGGGUCUUGCAGGCUUUUCACAAGUCAGCUCCCUUUAAAUUCAUUAGCGAGACUUCCCUUUGCUGAACCGUCUCUGACGUGAUAAUUAUCUGCGUCAAGUUGGGUUCUCGUUGGGCUUGCUUCUAAUUGUCCUUGGACAACCGGUUGAAGUGCAUAUAUGCGCCUCUUUCCAAAUCUAUUUUGAUCUCAAAUCGGGUAGGACUACCCGCUGAACUUAAGCAUAUCAAUAAGCGGAGGA